rnacentral:lncRNA from 1 species
GCGCGAUAUAGGGUUGUGUCGGAUCACGAUGGUCUAUAUGUGCUAUCGUGGAUGGAACCUGAUUAAAUUUGACUUAAGCCGGGCGAAGUUUUGCAAGGUUGUAGUAACUCCGUCUGUGGCAGCUAAGGACCGACCGUUGUACGUCCUCUUGUCAUGUUGAACGCAUGCCUGACACAUAGUGGGCCGGAUAACUCGUUCCGACCGCGAUGCCGAGUAGUAUGACUCAGGCCGGAAGACCGGCAAGUAUAAAGUGCGCACUACCAGAGGAAGUGCUGUGUGCGGGGGACCAUUGGUGUAAGCCCAAAGGCAGGUGAGUUAAAAUUCCUGACCUCCUUGGCAGAGUGGUAGCCCUGGGAGUGCGGCGCUGAUCGGAGCCGCGAUUCCUGAGUCGUACCAAAGGUGACCCGUUGGCUCUCCGACGGGGGAUGCUUGGGGGAGUGCUAGGAAUACCCCUCCAGCUGGAUAGGAAUUCGAUUCGAAUCGCCGUCUCUCCCGGUUAGUGAGAACUUGACAGAGUGUUGAUAUCUGGGAACGCAAUAAGG